GGGUCAAGAAAAGAAGAACGGCAAAAAUUGAGGAUUGUAGACUUGAGAGCCAAGUUAGGGAUCACAGUAGAGAAAUCAGGAACAGAGCCAUCAGGAAGAACAGGGGUAAAAGAAAGUGAUUUGCAGGCAUGAACACAAUGACGCUCAAAAGUAUGGCCUGAAGAAACGAUUACAGGGUCAGCCAUGAGAGAACCAGAAAUAGGACAGACAAAUUCUAUAGGAAUAGGAGGUUGUUUUGAUGGAGACUUGUGAAAUGAAAUUCUCCAUCUUUGCUUGCUAGUACCCAUUUCAA
rnacentral:misc_RNA from 1 species